UACGGAGGGAGCUAGCGUUGUUCGGAAUUACUGGGCGUAAAGCGCGCGUAGGCGGCUUUGUAAGUUAGAGGUGAAAGCCCGGGGCUCAACCCCGGAACUGCCUUUAAGACUGCAUCGCUUGAAUCCGGGAGAGGUGAGUGGAAUUCCGAGUGUAGAGGUGAAAUUCGUAGAUAUUCGGAAGAACACCAGUGGCGAAGGCGGCUCACUGGACCGGCAUUGACGCUGAGGUGCGAAGGCGUGGGGAGCAAACAGG
rnacentral:rRNA from 1 species